AACUAGCAUAUCAAUAAGCGGAGGAAAAGAAACCAACAGGGAUUGCCCUAGUAACGGCGAGUGAAGCGGCAACAGCUCAAAUUUGAAAUCUGGCCCUUGGGUCCGAGUUGUAAUUUGUAGAGGAUGCUUUUGGUGCGGUACCUUCCGAGUUCCCUGGAACGGGACGCCAUAGAGGGUGAGAGCCCCGUCUGGUUGGAUACCAAUCCUCUGUAAAGCUCCUUCGACGAGUCGAGUAGUUUGGGAAUGCUGCUCUAAAUGGGAGGUAUAUGUCUUCUAAAGCUAAAUAUUGGCCAGAGACCGAUAGCGCACAAGUAGAGUGAUCGAAAGAUGAAAAGCACUUUGAAAAGAGGGUUAAACAGUACGUGAAAUUGUUGAAAGGGAAGCGCUUGUGACCAGACUUGGGCCCGGUUAAUCAUCCACCGUUCUCGGUGGUGCACUUGGCCGGCCCAGGCCAGCAUCAGUUCGGCGCGGGGGAUAAAGGCUUCGGGAAUGUGGCUCCUCCGGGAGUGUUAUAGCCCGUUGUGUAAUACCCUGUACUGGACUGAGGUUCGCGCAUCUGCAAGGAUGCUGGCGUAAUGGUCAUCAGCGACCCGUCUUGAAACACGGACCAAGGAGUCGUCUUCGUAUGCGAGUGUUCGGGUGUUAAACCCCUACGCGUAAUGAAAGUGAACGCAGGUGAGAGCUUCGGCGCAUCAUCGACCGAUCCUGAUGUUCUCGGAUGGAUUUGAGUAAGAGCAUACGGAGCCGGACCCGAAAGAAGGUGAACUAUGCCUGUAUAGGGUGAAGCCAGAGGAAACUCUGGUGGAGGCUCGCAGCGGUUCUGACGUGCAAAUCGAUCGUCAAAUAUGGGCAUGGGGGGCGAAAGACUAAUCGAACCUUCUAGUAGCUGGUUUCCGCGAGC
rnacentral:rRNA from 1 species